AGUUUUGAUUCAAACGUGUGAGAAGUUCUUAUUCGGUGUUUGUUUGUACUUACAAACUUUUUGGGUGCUAAGAUCUAAAGUUUAGAGGGAAACAACCCAGAUCGUAUGCUAAGGUCCCUAAGAAAUCACUUAGUGGAAAAGGAAGUGAUCAAGCGAUGACAGCCAGGAGGGGCUUGGAAGCAACCAUCCUUUAAAGAAAGUGUAGUAGCUCACUGGUAUAGCUCCAUGGCACCGAAAAUGUAUCAGGGCUCAAGUAAUUCACCGAAGCGACGAGACCUUGAAAGCUUCUUAACUAGUA
rnacentral:ncRNA from 1 species